UGCCACAGCCAUGUCACCCUGCAGACCAAGACCGUUUACUCACUAAAACUAAGCAUGGCUGAGCCUGGGCAGUACCUGGAAGGAAGAUCACAUGAAAAAACUAGGUUGCUGUUGGAA
ensembl:rRNA 5S_rRNA 5S ribosomal RNA